AUUGAACGCUGGCGGCAUGCUUUACACAUGCAAGUCGAACGGUAACAGGCUAUCGGGUGCUGACGAGUGGCGGACGGGGGCGUAAUGCAUCGGAACGUACCCGGAGGUGGGGGUUAACGCAGCGAAAGCUGUGCAAAUACCGCUAGUGAUCUGAGGAUGCAAGCGGGGGACGGAGCAGCAAUGUUUAGCCUCGCGCCUUUGGAGCGGCCGAUGCCGGAUUAGCUAGUUGGUGGGGUAAAGGCCUACCAAGGCGACGGUCCGUAGGUGGUCUGAGAGGGCGACCAGCCACACUGGGACUGAGGCACGGGCCAGGAUCCUACGGGGGGGAGCAAGGGGGAAUUUUUGGCAAAGGGCGGAAGGCUGGUCCAGGAAAGACGCGGGCGGGAAGAAAGGCUUCCGGUUUGUAAAGGCUUUUGGCAGGAACGAAACGGUGGCCGCUAAAUCCGGGGGCGAAUGACGGGAACUGAAGGAUAAGGACCGGCUAACUACGUG
rnacentral:rRNA from 1 species